UCCCGAGGGCUGCGGGCGACGCGGAGCUCCGGUUCCCACACCGCCCUCCUCCUGCGCCCUCGCGGGUUGCCUUGCGUUGCUACCGAGCCGCACUUCCUCCGCUUCCUCCUCCUCCUGCUGGCUGCCCUCGAGAGGCGCCGCCACUUCCUGCGGUGCUGAAGGGCCGGGGUACGGGCCUGGGCCUACGGCGCGAUGGCGCCGAGAACCCGCUGGUCGUUGCCUUGAGGGGUUGGGGGCCGCGACGGCGUUCCAGUCGGGGCGCCUCGGUAUAUCCACAGAAUCCUUCUUGACAGAGCACACAGCCAGAUGAUCAGAGCAGGCCCAUGAGCAAAGAAAGGCAUUUGCUCAUCACACCUGGGAGGGUGUAUACAAUUGAGACAUGCAGAGCUCACCAACAGAAGGAACAAGAGUGAGGAAAGGCACAGUGCUGGGGCAACACUGAAUGUGUAUGACGAAGAUUUUACUUAUUUGAGUGAGUGAGAGAGAGAGAGAGAGAGUGCAUUGGAACCAGGGGAGGGGCAGAGAAGCAGACUCCCUGCUGAGCCAGGACCCUGACAAGGACUCAGUCCCAGGACUGUGGGAUCAUGGCCUGAGCAGAAGGCAGCUGCUUAACCAACUAAGCCACCCAAGGAGUCUCAGCCAACUCAGAAGGAUAGAGAGAAAAUUUUGAGGAUGGGAUCGCUGAAACCCUGCCCUGAUGAAAUACUGGGAAAACUGGCAGAAGGAGAGAAAGGUGGGAGGAGCUGGAGAGAGAGAGAGAGACAUACCCAAGUAGACUCCCUGCUGAGCGGAGAGCCCAACACACCAGGCUGGAUUCCGUGACCCUGAGAUCAGGACCCAAACUGAAAUCGAGUCUGAUGAUCAACUGACUGAGCCACCCAGGUGCCCCAGGAAAAAAAUAAUUUAAAAAAGAAGUUUAAUACUGUCAGAAAUAGUUAUUGUUUGUUCCAGCUGAUAAUAAGGUGUGGAAAGGAUUUUUUUAAAUAUUUUAUUUGUUUAUCUGACAGAAAGAGAGAGAGCACAAGCAGGGGAAGGGCCAAGGGAAAGGAAGAAGCAGGCUCCGGGCUGAAUAAGGAUCCUGACACCAGGAUGCUGAGAUCAUGACCUGAGCCAAAGGUAGAUGCUUAGCCAACUAAGCCAUCGAGGUGCCCCUAGGUAGUCUUUGGUAAACAAGAGUAUUGUUGGUUUAGUUAAAAACAAAACAAAACAAAACCAAAAAAAAAAAAAAAAAACAGCAUGUCUUCAAGAACUGUCAGCAUUAAAAAUAAUGCAAACCAUACAAUUUUAUUCUAGCUGGGUAUACUAGUCAAACAUCUGUCAGGAAAAACAGUAACUUAAAAUGAUGCCUAACUUUUUCUAAUGUCUCAUGAAAUUUUCAUGACUGAUCUAAACAUAAUUGUUAAGAAAAGGUGAAUCAACUAAACGUAGGUGGGAUAAAAGUUUGUAAGUUAUCUUUUCAACAAUGGUUAUGUUUUAUAAAAUAUGUCUACUUAAAAACAUUUCUGGGCACCUGGGUGGCUCAGUUAGUUAAGCCACUGCCUUCAGCUCGGGUCAUGGUCCCAGAGUCCUGGGAUCGAGUCCCACAUCGGGCUCCUUGCUGAGCGGGGAGUCUGCUUCUCUCUCUGCCUCUGCCUGCCACUCUGUCUGCUUGUAUUCACUCUCUCUGACAAAUAUAUAAAUAAAUAAAAUCUUUAAAAAAAAAAUUUUCCAAGGGGAGCUUGGGUGGCUCGGUGGUUUAAGCAUCAGCCUUUGGCUCUGGUCAUUGUCCUGGGAACUGAGCCCCACGUCAGACUCCCCACUCAGUGGGCAGCCUGCUUCUCCCUCUCCCUCUGCUGCUCCCCUUGCCUUGCUCUGUUGCUCACUUUCUGUCAAAUAAAUACAUAAAAUCUUUUUUAAAAAUUUCUAAAAUCUUUUUGGUAACUUGAAACCUUAAAUUUUUACUAAGUUAAAUGACAGAUAUUCACUGAAUACCUAGAUCAUUUCCAAAUAAGAUAAUGUACUGAAACAUUAAUUGCUAAAUAUAAGUCUAAGUUUACCUACUUUUGUCCUCUUCUUUUUUAAAAAGAUUUAUUUAUUUAUUUAUUUAUUUGAGAAAGAGAGACAGCAGGAGAGGGAGCACAAGCAGGGGAAGUGAGAGAGGGAGAAGCAGGCUCCCCACUGAGCAGGGAGCCUGAUGCGGGGCUCGAUCCAAGGAUCCUGGGAUCAUGACCUGAACUAAAAGCAGAGGCUUACCCACUGAGUGACCCAGGCUCCCCCUUUUGUCUUCUUAUUACAGAGGAAUAAUAGCUAUUUUGACACCCACAGAAUAUUGGUGUGACAGUUCACUGUUGCUUACUUUUUAGUGUUCACUAGAAAUUAAGGUUUCUGGGGCACUUGGGUGGCUCAGUGGGUUAAGCCUCUGCCUUAGGCUCAGGUCAUGGUCUCAGGGUCCUGGAAUCGAGCCCCACAUCAGGAUCUCUGCUCAGCAGUGAGCCUGCUUCCCCCUCUCUCUCUGCCUACCUCUCUGCCUACUUUUGAUCUCUCUGUCAAAUCAAUAAAUUAAAAAAGUAUUAAAAAAGAAAAAAUCUUUAAAAAAAAGAAAGAAAUUAAGGUUUCUAAGAGUUCAGAGUUCUAAUUAAUGUAUUUAAUUAAAACUAGUAGAAAAAAGCUGUAUAUGCAAAAUAUGUAAGGAAAGUAGGGUUUGUUUUUGGUAAGAAAAGCCAUGUGUUAUGGAGAUAUAUUUUUGUUAAGGGAAAAGGAGUAAUUUUGUUCUAAAGUAGAAUAACUGGUCAUUCCAGAAUGAAAAAGAGAAGAAUUUAAAAAAAAAAAAAAAAAGAAAGAAAGAAAGAAAGAAAGAAAAGAAAGGGGCACCUGGGUGGCUCAAUGGGUUAGAGCCGCUGCCUUCCGCUUGGGUCAUGAUCCCAGGGUCCUGGGAUCCAGCCCCACAUGGAUCUCUCUGCUCGGCAGGGAGCCUGCUUCCUCCUUUCUCUCGGCCUCCUUCUCUGCCUACUUGCGUUGUCUGUCGAAUAAAUAAAUAAAAUCUUUAAAAAAAAAAAAAAAAGAAAAGAAAAGAAAAAGAGAAGACAAAGGACAAAAACUAGGUAGAUACAGAAAGUUGGAGAGAGAGAGUAUGAGUGAGAAUGAGACAGAGACUCUCAUCUCAUGUAGUCAAACUGGCCAAAACAGAAUGAAUUUGUUAAGAGGAUUUUAGAAAUAAGCCUUAGUAUCAAGAGUGUGCCUAUGCAAAACUAAAAUUUAAUUUUCUUUCAUCUGUUAAAAGGAAAAGUUUCUUUUGGUUUAUUAGUGUACUCUUUCUAAAAAACUGAGAUAUACCUGACAUAUAACAUGAUGCUAAUUUCAGAUGUGCAACACAGUGAUUUGGUAUAUGUCUAUAUGAUCACUGCAGUUAAGUCUGGUUAACAUCCAUAAGCACACAGUUAUAUUUUUUUCCUCUUGUAAUGAGAAUUUUUAAGAUUUAUUUCAUUCACCUUCCAUCCCCUCUGGCAACUCUGUUCUCUGUAUGUAUGAGCUUGGGUGGGGGUGGGAUUCAUGUUUUAGAUUCCACAUGUAAGUGAGAUUGUAGGGCGUUUGUCUUUCUCUGUCUGACUUGUUUAAUGCCCUCAAGGUCUGUCCAUGUUGUUGCAAAUAGCAAGCUCUCAUUUUUAUGACCAAGUAAUAUUCCAUUGAAUAUGUAUAAACCACAUUUCUUUAUCUAUUCAUCCAUCUGUGGACACUUAGGUUGCUUUCUGUUUCCUUUGGAUAAAUACCCAAAAGUGGAAUAGCUAGAUCAUAUAGUAGGUCUAUUUUUAAUUUUCUAAGGAAUCUCCAGGCUCUUUUCCAUAGUGGCUGCAUCAACAUACAUUCCCACAAGCAGUGCCUGAGGGCUCCCUUUUCUCACAGCCUCACCAACACUUAUUGUUUCUUCACUUUUUGGU